GGGGGUGUACUGGUUUCGACGGGGAGACUGAAGUUUGAAAUGCAUGUCGUGCCUGAAUGAUGCACGUAAAUCCUUAUUUCAUUAUUGUUAUAGUUGCAAACGACGAUAACUACGCUCUAGCGGCUUAAUCCCGCUUGUGCAGACUGGGCCAGUUGUUCGUAGCCCCCAGCUCUGUAUCGACUUAUACGGAAUCGUAACCGUUGCGUGUUUGGGUGAUUGGUUAUUAAACUUAACAAACUCGCUUAAUGUGAUCCCUGCUGAUCGGGUAGCAUUUUAGUUAAAUUAAUAGAUCAAAUAAACAUGUAGAGUUUUAGAUGGAUGCUUUCCGGACGGCGGUUCGAUUCCGCCCAUCUCCACCA
rnacentral:tmRNA from 1 species